CAAUAGCGUAUAUUAAAGUUGUUGCAGUUAAAAAGCUCGUAGUUGGAUUUCUGCGCAAGUCGCCUGGUCCACCCACUGGGUGCGUAUCUGGGUUGCCUUGCGCAUUUUGUUGGAUGGUGUUUCUGCACUUGACUGUGUGGUGCAUUGGCCAGCGCUUUUACUUUGAGGAAAUUAGAGUGUUUCAAGCAGGCUCACGCCUUGAAUACAUUAGCAUGGAAUAAUAAUAUAAGACCUUGGAUCUUUUUUGUUGGUUUCUAGAACCAAGGUAAUGAUUAAUAGGGAUAAUUGGGGGCAUUCGUAUUCAACUGUCAGAGGUGAAAUUCUUGGAUUUGUUGAAGACGAUCUACUGCGAAAGCAUUUGCCAGGGAUGUUUUCAUUGAU
rnacentral:rRNA from 1 species